rnacentral:rRNA from 1 species
UACGUAGGGGGCAAGCGUUGUCCGGAAUCAUUGGGCGUAAAGAGCGUGUAGGCGGUUCGGUAAGUCGGCUGUGAAAGUCCAGGGCUCAACCCUGGGAUGCCGGUCGAUACUGCCGGACUAGAGUUCGGAAGAGGCGAGUGGAAUUCCCGGUGUAGCGGUGAAAUGCGCAGAUAUCGGGAGGAACACCUAUGGCGAAGGCAGCUCGCUGGGACGUUACUGACGCUGAGACGCGAAAGCGUGGGAGCAAACAGG